UACGUAGGUGGCAAGCGUUGUCCGGAUUUACUGGGCGUAAAGGAUGCGUAGGCGGAUGUUUAAGUGAGAUGUGAAAUACCCGAGCUCAACUUGGGUGCCGCAUUUCAAACUGGAUAUCUAGAGUGCAGGAGAGGAAAGCGGAAUUCCUAGUGUAGCGGUGAAAUGCGUAGAGAUUAGGAAGAACACCAGUGGCGAAGGCGGCUUUCUGGACUGUAACUGACGCUGAGGCAUGAAAGCGUGGGGAGCAAACAGG
rnacentral:rRNA from 1 species